rnacentral:rRNA from 1 species
GACGAACGCUGGCGGCGUGCCUAAUACAUGCAAGUCGAGCGAAGCGGUGGAGUGGUGAGUAACGCGUGGGUAACCUGCCCUUAAGUCAGGGAUACCAAUUGGAAACAGAUGCUAAUACCGGAUACUAAAGGCUGGAGCUUCGAUGCAUUAGCUAGUUGGUAAGGUAACGGCUUACCAAGGAGAUGAUGAAUAGCCGGGUUGAGAGGCUGAUCGGCCACAUUGGGACCGAGACACGGCCCAAACUCCUACGGGAGUCAGCAGUGGGGAAUAUUGCACAGUGGGCGCAAGCCUGAUGCAGCCAUGCCGCGUGUGUGAAGAAGGCCUUCGGGUUGUAAAGUACUUUCAGCGAGGAGGCGUUACUCGCAGAAGAAGCACCGGCUAACUCCGUGCAAGCAGCCGCGGUAAUUC